rnacentral:rRNA from 1 species
AUGUUAGCAAUUGCCGCAUUCUACGAUUAUGAGAUAUGGCAAAUGGACGUCAAAACGGCAUUCCUUAAUGGUUUCCUUAAGGAAGAAUUGUAUAUGAUGCAGCCGGAAGGUUUUGUCGAUCCUAAGAAUGCUGACAAGGUGUGCAAGCUCCAACGCUCGAUUUAUGGGCUGGUGCAAGCAUCUCGGAGUUGGAACAUUCGCUUUGAUGAGAUGAUCAAAGCGUUUGGGUUUACGCAGACUUAUGGAGAAGCCUGCGUUUACAAGAAAGUGAGUGGGAGCUCUGUAGCAUUUCUCAUAUUAUAUGUAGAUGACAUACUUUUGAUGGGAAAUGAUAUAGAACUCUUGGACAGCAUUAAGGCCUACUUGAAUAAAAGUUUUUCAAUGAAGGACCUUGAAGAAGCUGCUUAUAUAUUAGGCAUCAAGAUCUACAGAUAUAGAUCAAGACGCCUCAUAGGUCUUUCACAAAGCACAUACCUUGAUAAGAUAUUGAAGAAGUUCAAUAUGGAUCAAUCUAAGAAGGGGUUCUUGCCUGUGUUACAAGGUAUGAAAUUGAGCUCAGCUCAAUGUCCGACCACGACAGAAGAUAUAGAAGAGAUGAGUGUCAUCCCCUAUGCCUCAGCCAUAGGUUCUAUUAUGUAUGCCAUGUUGUGUACCAGACCUGAUGUAAACCUUGCCGUAAGUUUGGUAGGAAGGUACCAAAGUAAUCCCGGCAAGGAACACUGGACAGCGGUCAAGAAUAUCAUGAAGUACCUGAAAAGGACUAAGGAAAUGUUUCUCGUUUAUGGAGGUGACGAAGAGCUCGUCGUAAAGGGUUACGUCGACGCUAGCUUCGACACAGAUCCGGAUGACUCUAAGUCACAAACCGGAUACGUGUAUAUUUUGAAUGGUGGGGCAGUAAGCUGGUGCAGUUGCAAGCAGAGCGUCGUGGCGGGAUCUACAUGUGAAGCGGAGUACAUGGCAGCCUCGGAGGAAGCACAUGAAGCAAUAUGGGUGAAGGAGUUCAUCACCGACCUAGGAGUCAUACCCAAUGCGUCGGGGCCAAUCAAACUCUUCUGUGACAACACUGGAGCUAUUGCACUUGCCAAGGAGCCCAGGUUUCACAAGAAGACCAGGCACAUCAAGCGUCGCUUCAACUCCAUUCGUGAAAAUGUUCAAGAUGGAGACAUAGAGAUUUGUAAAGUACAUACGGACCUGAAUGUAGCGGAUCCGUUGACUAAACCUCUCCCUAGAGCAAAACAUGAUCAACACCAGAAUUCCAUGGGUGUUCGAUUCAUCACAAUGUAA